UACGGAGGGUGCAAGCGUUAUCCGGAUUCACUGGGUUUAAAGGGUGCGUAGGCGGGCAGGUAAGUCCGUGGUGAAAUCUCUGAGCUUAACUCAGAAACUGCCAUGGAUACUAUUUGUCUUGAAUAUUGUGGAGGUAAGCGGAAUAUGUCAUGUAGCGGUGAAAUGCUUAGAUAUGACAUAGAACACCAAUUGCGAAGGCAGCUUGCUGCACAGUUAUUGACGCUGAGGCACGAAAGCGUGGGGAUCAAACAGG
rnacentral:rRNA from 1 species